rnacentral:rRNA from 1 species
UACGGAGGGUGCGAGCGUUGUCCGGAAUCAUUGGGCGUAAAGGGCGCGUAGGCGGCCGCCUAAGUCAGACGUGAAAUCCCUCGGCUCAACCGGGGAACUGCGUCUGAUACUGGGUGGCUUGAAUUCGGGAGAGGGAUGCGGAAUUCCAGGUGUAGCGGUGAAACGCGUAGAUAUCUGGAGGAACACCGGUGGCGAAGGCGGCAUCCUGGACCGAGAUUGACGCUGAGGCGCGAAAGCCAGGGGAGCAAACGGG